AUGUUUCGGUAGUACAUAUACUAAAAUUGGAACAAUACAGAGAUGAUUAGCAUGGCCCCUGUGCAAGGAUGACACACAAAUUCAUGAAGUGUUCCAUAUUUUU
rnacentral:snRNA from 1 species